UCCCAGGUGGCUCAGUGGUAAAGAAGCCACCUGCCUGUGAAGCAGGAGACACAGGUUCAAUCCCUGGGUUGGGAA